rnacentral:antisense_RNA from 1 species
CGGGCCGUGUACUCCCAGAUCGCCUCCGGGUCCAGGAGCGUCUGGUCGCCGAAGUAGGCGCCGUCGGCGAGGACUCCGAGGACCACGUCGCCCCCGUAGGGGCCGCUGCCGAUCUUCUCGACCUUGCCGUGCGCGAUGAGGAACACCUCGUCGACCUGGCUGCCGAAGGAGGCGAUGAUCUGGCCCGCCUCGAUCUCGCGCUGCCUGCAGCGCUGGGCGAGUUCGCCGAGCACCUCCUCGUCCUCGUAGGACCGCAGGGCCGGCAGUUCGCCGAGCUCCGCGGGGAUGACACUGACCUGGUCACCUGUCUUCACGAAGGUGACACGGCCGUCGCCGACCGCAUAGCUGAGCCUGCGGUUCACCCGGUACGUGCCGCCCUGGAGAUCCACCCACGGCAGCAUCCGCAGCAGCCAGCGCGAGCUGAUCUCCUGCAUCUGGGGCACGGACUUGGUGGUCGUGGCCAGGUUCCGCGCGGCGGAUGUGCCGAGACUCUGCUGGGGACGGGUCUG